rnacentral:rRNA from 1 species
UGAGGGAAUAUUUGGGGUCAAUGGGCGCGAGCCUGAACCAGCCAAGUCGCGUGAAGGAUGAAGGUUCUAUGGAUUGUAAACUUCUUUUAUAGGGGAAUAAAGUGCGGGAUGUAUCCUGUUUUGUAUGUACCUCAUGAAUAAGCAUCGGCUAACUCCGUGCCAGCAGCCGCGGUAAUACGGAGGAUGCGAGCGUUAUCCGGAUUCAUUGGGUUUAAAGGGUGCGUAGGUGGCCUUUUAAGUCAGCGGUGAAAGUUUGUGGCUCAACCAUAAAAUUGCCGUUGAAACUGGAGGGCUUGAGUAUGUUUGGGGCAGGCGGAAUGUGUGGUGUAGCGGUGAAAUGCAUAGAUAUCACGCAGAACUCCGAUCGCGAAGGCAGCUUGCCAAGCCCAUAACUGACACUGAAG